rnacentral:tRNA from 1 species
UUCCCAGUGGCCAAGUCGGUUAAGGCGUUAUGCUUAUAACGUAAAGAUCCCGAGUUCGAUCCUCGGCUGGGAAA